AAAGGGGCUACAAGGGAUCCAUGGAAAGAGCAUUCCCAGAAGCGGGGCCAGGGCAGUGCGCACAGUGAGGAGAGCAGGUGUGUGUGAGGUUGAAACAAAACGUUCAAAGCCCCCUCGGAAGCCCAUCCACAGGUGUGUGACUGUGAACCGCAUCGUAAUCUCCUAGAAAGCAAGAACAUCAGGCUUACAUUUUCCACUUGCCUCUCACGGCUCAGAGCUCUGCAGUAUAUACAUUGAGGAAACUGGGCCCUGAGACAUUAACUUGCCCAAAAGAUCACAGUGGGCAACAUUCUAGAGCACAGUGGAAGCCGACAGCAAUGUCAGUGAAGAUGGAAAACAGAACGUGGAGAGAGAUGUAGCUUACUAGAGCCCUGUGGCUUCAAUCCCCACCAGGAAUGUCGUUUAAGAGGAAGAGAAGCAGCCUCGGGGAGCGGGCGGGGCUGGGGAAUCCCUGGCCUCCCUCCUUUCCUUCUGGCUGAUCUUCUGCAGAAGACCUCACAAAAGGGAGCUGAGGGGCCAGGAAGCCUGUGGAUGCCCUGAAGAAGAAUGAGUAGAUCUGAAAGGGCAGUAGAACAGAACCAGAAUCCAGUGCAAAGGCCCUGGGGCAGGAGUUCGCAGGAGAAGCGGGGAGAAGGAACCAGCCUAUGAUCCAGGAAUGCAGUGAACAAGAUUUGGGAAGUUGACAGAGAAUAUGAGGCCUCCUCUCCAAACAGAAACUCCAGGACGCUUGGUUGAGUCACUGACACAUGCACAGUGCUGAGCAUAGUACCAGACACCAGAGUCUGUGUUCCAGAAAUGGAAGAAUAGGUGAGUAAUGAAAGUCUAAGUAAGCAAAUUCUUCGCAAAUGGGGAAAAGAUUGAAUGUAUAGGGCUGCAUAUAUUAGAAGCCCCCUGGAAUCUCUGCAUCCAGAAGAUUGCAGUCACCUUUGAAGCACUCACCACCAGAGUCUACUCGCACACUCUCCUGUGGCAGCCGUUCACCUCGGCCCUUUUCCUAGGGAUUUGCCUUCAAGUCCCAGAAUGGGCCUCAGGGUCUUUGCAUUCGCCUUUCUAUGAGUCUGAAACACCACCCACCCCCUCACCUGUGGGCAGGCAAAGCACCUCCUGUGUUCAUGUCAUCUCCUGUAUCAAGCCCUUCCUGAUGACCAACUUGCAGCCGGGUGCCCUCUAUCCAUGCCUCCAUGGCCGCCUAUGAUAAUGUCCCCCAUAUCAUUUACCAUUCUGCUCAUGAAUUUGGCUUCAUUCAUCUCGCAACAACCCCAGAGUAUUAAGCCACUCGAGGGUGGAAGCUGGUGCUUUUACCUCCGCACCUCUCAUGCCCGACAGAGUCCAUGGCAGAAGGCCGGCUCUCAGAUUUUAGCUGCAUUCCUGAAUGAAGGAAUCAAUAAAAGCCACACAGCAUUAAGUGGCAGACUCUAGUAAUUUAAUUCCUGGUCCUGGGCUCUUUGAUAUAAAAUAACUCUUCUAUUUUUAAUACACCCCACAUUCCUGAAGAUGACACUACUGCAAAAUUAAAGAAAUGUGAUGAACAGCUUACAACCUGCAACACACUCGGCAGCUCAAAAUGACAACAUUAAUUUAAUGAACUUAAACACUGGUGAACUUUUUAACACAUCCAGAGUUAUUUACACUGGGAAAUGCAUACUUAAGACUGCCUGCCAAAGAGACUCAAAUAGAGAUGACACAUAUAUCUUUCACAUGUUAAUUUGCAUUUGAAACUUUGAGCUUUGAUACAGGUUGGCUUUUCUCUUUUGGAAUGAAGAAAUCAAGAGACUAAUUUUUUACCCAUCCAUCCAUCUAUCCAUCUAUCCAUCCAUCCAGCCACAUCUUUCCUAAGUGACAGGACAUAUCACACACCAACCGUGUGCAAAGCACUCUACCUAAAGAUCAGCGCUAACAGAGGAAUAAGCAGAGGCCUCCAGGAGCAAAGAGUGAAAAGUCUCCCAAGGAUUCAAGUACGGGGGAAGUGGGUGGAGCUUUCACCGUAGAAUCUUUCCUGGAGAAAAAGCAAAGAGUGGGACAACAAUGAAGGCAUUAAAAAUAACUGUCAAGUUGAAGAAAAA
rnacentral:lncRNA from 1 species